AGAGUUUGAUCCUGGCUCAGGAUGAACGCUAGCUACAGGCUUAACACAUGCAAGUCGAGGGGAAACGACAUCGAAAGCUUGCUUUUGAUGGGCGCGACCGGCGCACGGGUGAGUAACGCGUAUCCAACCUGCCCACCACUUGGGGAUAACCUUGCGAAAGUAAGACUAAUACCCAAUGAUAUCUCUAGAAGACAUCUGAAAGAGAUUAAAGAUUUAUCGGUGAUGGAUGGGGAUGCGUCUGAUUAGCUUGUUGGCUGGGUAACGGCCACCAAGGCUACGAUCAGUAGGGGUUCUGAGAGGAAGGUCCCCCCANAUUGGAACUGAGACACGGUCCAAACUCCUACGGGAGGCA
rnacentral:rRNA from 1 species